rnacentral:rRNA from 1 species
CAGUCGCCGCGGGAAUACGUAGGGUGCAAGCGUUAAUCGGAAUUACUGGGCGUGAAGCGUGCGCAGGCGGUUAUAUAAGACAGAUGUGAAAUCCCCGGGCUCAACCUGGGAACUGCAUUUGUGACUGUAUAGCUAGAGUACGGCAGAGGGGGAUGGAAUUCCGCGUGUAGCAGUGAAAUGCGUAGAUAUGCGGAGGAACACCGAUGGCGAAGGCAAUCCCCUGGGCCUGUACUGACGCUCAUGCACGAAAGCGUGGGGAGCAAACAGGAUUAGAUACCCGAGUAGUCCCUGUCUCUUAUAC